GGUUCCGGCUUUUUUAUCUUUAGGCAAACGGCUUGGUUCUGGCUGUUCGUAACUUCGUAUUUCACGGGGGCAGCACAGCCCAUAGCCUGUCAAGCCCAGAAAAACGCCCUUUCUUUAAAUUUUUCUAUAAGCGGGCCCAAGCCAACUCAACCACGCAAAUAAGCAGCGAUUUUCCCUUCGUUCCAGGUUCCACCUUCUCCUCCCGGAGGGAAACCCUGUCUAUCCGAUCUAGUUUUCUUUCGCCCGUGUGGCGGCGGCGGUAGAUCGGAGGCAACGAAGCGCGACGACGGCUACAGGAGCAGCUGCUCUCUCCUCCAACUCCUGUAGGGUUUCUUGAGGGCGCCCCGCUGUGGAAGCUGCCUGUGGCGUCGGGGCCCUCCAUGGCGCGCAGCGGCGGACCCAGCCUGCGCCGCGGCCGGACCAGCCUGGUCGCGCAGUGGUGGCACAGCUUGUGGACUGAAAUCUCACUUUGUGGUGCCACUCGUCCAUACACUUGUCAAUUCCAUCGGAGAAAAUGAUGGUGAGGAUGAGUCUUGGUGAUGUGGGUACUGGCUAUGGCUUCCUUUUGCGGAACCUCAGAUUGACAUGGAGCACAGACCAUAGAAGCAGGCCGGAGUUCUGCUGGAGGACCGUCAAGCUCGACCAGCAACCUGGGUUAACAUGUGUACGACGCUGAACUCUCUCCUCUUCAGAUAUUAGUUUCGUUCUGUUCCUCCCUCUUACCAAGUUCUUGUUGCUCGAUUGUGAGAUGCUUGUAUAGUACUCCCCUAGUAUUUGCUAGGUCAGAUUGUAUGGAAGUUAGUUGAUAUGUGUCACUUAAGUUGGAAUUUGUAAACUGAAUUGUACCCGUUCUGAUUUAAGAGAAAUUAUUUUGAGAACCAAGAUAGUACUCCCCCAUUGUGAAAUGGGUUAGUAAUUAAAUAGUAGUUGCAGUAAAAUAUUUUCAUUGUGCUGAUGCUCCCCCAUUUUUGUUAUGUUAUUUUGUAGUUUUGAACUCCUUUUGAGGGACUGUGAAUAGAUUUGCAAGUGAAUUGCUGUUGUAGAACUGCAGUGAGAGUUGUAUGAGAGAUUCGGCAUGAUUUUGGAAAAUUACUAAUGGAGAACUGAUUCACUGAACUUGUUUGUAGCAAUCAGAAGUCAAUACUGGCUAAUGAACAUUACUGUCCAAGCAAGCAGAUACUACAAGUUAAGAUCAAAUCCUAAACACGCUUUUUAUUCGGCCUAUGACCAUAGUGUAAUUGUAAGUAAUUUAUUCCUAGAUGGACGUGUCUUAUUGAUCACACUUCCAAUCAAAUGUGUGCCAAUGACAACAACUAAGCUAUGCAGAAGUUGUUCAUGCUUUCUUUACUAUUCUAGGUCGCUUGAAUGUUUCUUCCUUCGAGGCUUUGUUAAAUAUUCUGUUUUUGGCACCAUUUUAAUUUGUGAAGGAGUACCUACUACAAUGCUAAUUUUUUCCUAUCCAGAUUUGAAACUUUGAGUUCAGAUCUAAUUUACGUGUGUCCUCUUAAUACUAAUAGUUUUCUUACCUUUUGAUGUAUUAAUAGGUGUUUAUUCUAAUAUAAUAUUUCGGAUGUCCUUUUAUGCUCACACAUACAACAUGUUUUUCUUAAUAUCACUUACUAGACAAGUACUAGUAAGUCUUUUUUUGUUAAGAUUCCAUAGUGCUUCGAGUAAUAAAUUUGUUUGUUCUUUGUUGAAAUCGUAGAUUUUUUUUCUGUAACACAUUCAUAAUGCUAUAUUUAUGCCUUUGUUUCCAAUAGGUUGAUUUGUAAGUCAUCUUUCAAGAAGUUGAUAUGGACAAAGGAGGAUUAUACCAACUCUAGUUGCCUUCAAGAAGUCACGAGAAGAGGCAUCCAACAAAGGUUUCGAGUUUUGAGGAAGGCGGUAGCUAAGAGUCACACCCACACAGUCUCUAUUGACGACCUCUAAAAAAAUUGUUUUAUUGGAUGACAAUGUAGCUUCGGUUAUUUUGGAUGGAGCAUGUAAGUGUAAUGUGUAAUAUGCACGCUGUAUAGAGACUAGUUGGCUUGUAAUAUGAUGUGAAAAUUGGUUAAUGGACAG